rnacentral:pre_miRNA from 1 species
UUAUGGGUGAGCAAAGAAAGUAGUUUCUUCAGAUGGAAUCUACUCCUGGUGAAAAUGCUGUAAA